GUUGUCAGUGAUGUCUUACCUCUAUUGUUCGAGUUUCAAUGACCAUGAUAACACUUACAUGCACUACCAUCUGAGACAUG